GCCUCUGUGGUGUAAAGGUUAGUACAUUCAGUGCGUAUUCGAGAGGUCCAAGUUCAAAUCCUGGCGAGGGCA
rnacentral:tRNA from 1 species